UACGAAGGGUGCUAGCGUUGUUCGGAAUUACUGGGCGUAAAGCGCGCGUAGGCGGACUGACAAGUCAGGGGUGAAAUCCCGGGGCUCAACCCCGGAAUUGCCUUUGAAACUGUCAGUCUGGAGUUCGAGAGGGGAUAGCGGAAUUCCUAAUGUAGAGGUGAAAUUCGUAGAUAUUAGGAGGAACACCGGUGGCGAAGGCGGCUAUCUGGCUCGAUACUGACGCUCUGGCGCGAAAGCGUGGGGAUCAAACAGG
rnacentral:rRNA from 1 species